AGAGUUUGAUCCUGGCUCAGGAUGAACGCUAGCGAUAGGCUUAACACAUGCAAGUCGAGGGGCAUCACGAAUUAGCAAUAGUUUGGUGGCGACCGGCGUACGGGUGCGUAACACGUAUACAACCUACCUUCAAUUGGGGGAUAACCUGGAGAAAUUCGGACUAAUACCCCAUAGUAAACGGAAGAGGCAUCUUUUUUGUUUUAAAGAUUUAUUGAUUGGAGAUGGGUAUGCGUAGGAUUAGCUAGUUGGUAAGGUAACGGCUUACCAAGGCGACGAUCCUUAGGGGUUCUGAGAGGAAGGUCCCCCACACUGGUACUGAGACACGGACCAGACUCCUACGGGAGGCAGCAGUGAGGAAUAUUGGUCAAUGGGCGAGAGCCUGAACCAGCCAAGUCGCGUGAAGGAUGACUGUCUUAUGGAUUGUAAACUUCUUUUGUAGGGGAAUAAAGAGAGGCACGUGUGCCUCAGUGAAUGUACCCUACGAAUAAGCAUCGGCUAACUCCGUGCCAGCAGCCGCGGUAAUACGGAGGAUGCAAGCGUUAUCCGGAUUUAUUGGGUUUAAAGGGUGCGUAGGCGGUAUUACAAGUCAGGGGUGAAAUCUUGGUGCUUAACAUUAAAAUUGCCUUUGAAACUGUGGUACUUGAGUGUAAAAGAGGUAGGCGGAAUGUGUUGUGUAGCGGUGAAAUGCAUAGAUAUAACACAGAACCCCGAUUGCGAAGGCAGCUUACUAUCAUACAACUGACGCUGAUGCACGAAAGCGUGGGGAGCAAACAGGAUUAGAUACCCUGGUAGUCCACGCAGUAAACGAUGAUUACUAGCUGUUAGCGAUAUACUGUUAGUGGCUAAGCGAAAGCGAUAAGUAAUCCACCUGGGGAGUACGUUCGCAAGAAUGAAACUCAAAGGAAUUGACGGGGGCCCG
rnacentral:rRNA from 1 species